rnacentral:pre_miRNA from 14 species
GGCCACGUCCGUCUCUGUGUGUACCUGAAGUGAGGUAGUAGGUUGUAUAGUUGAGAACUACAUCUGCCAAGGAGAGCUAACUGUACAACUUGCUAACUUUCUUCGGGUCGCACAAUGUUCGUCGGAGGUCAG